UUCGCUGUGCAUGUAUAAGUAGAUUUCCAACAAUUAAUAUUCCAAAUCUUUGAAUCAAAUUAUACAAAUUUCAAAAACCUAAACUCACAUUUUUAAAAAAGUUUCUUUUCUUGUUCUUUCUCCGGAUAUCCUUGUAUAUUUUGUAAUCCAGAUUAAAGGCUGAAUAAUCAGCUAAAAUUAUUUGUUUAGAGUCCCUAAAGCAAUUCAGAUUCAACAAGAGGGAGCAAAAGAAUGCUUGUACAACAACAUUAAAUUCCCAAAUUAAGUCGAUACGUAUUUCUCUUCUUCCUUAUUCUUCUUGCUAUUUUUCUUCUUCCUUAUUCUUCUUGCUACCAAAGUUUGAUUCUUUUGGUGGUUCGUUCUUCGUCGUCCAAAUAUCUUCGUGAAGAUUUUCGAAAAAUAUCUCCUUCAAUGGUUUCUUUCUGUAAUCAAAUAACAUUGUACAUCAGUAUCAAUUUGUUAAAAGAAGCCUGAAACUUAUAGUUUGUUCAGGUUCCAUUAUAUAUAUUUUUCUUGUAACUUUCCAAUUCUAAUAAUAUUGGUCACUUUAGGUUUGAGGGAUUAUUUUAUAUCGUUACCUUUACAGUAAAAGUAAUUCCAACUUGAAUCUCUCCGCAAUAAGUUAGGUUGGUAUAUACAACUCUGUAUUUUCGAGGACGAAGUUUAGCCUUUCCUUUCUCCACUCCUAAUUCUAUAAGUUCUUUCACAUAGAUCCUGCAUGUAGAUUGUGAUAAGUUAUACCAAACUAAUUAGAAUAAGAUUAGACGCAAUUAUAUA
rnacentral:lncRNA from 1 species